AGAGUUUGAUCCUGGCUUAGAACGAACGCUGGCGGCGUGCCUCAUACAUGCAAGUCGUACGAGAAAGUCCUGGGCAACCGGGAUGAGUAAAGUGGCGAACUGGUGCGUAACACGUGGGUAACCUGCCUCAAAGCUGGGGAUAAGCCCUCGAAAGGGGGUCUAAUACCGGGUAAAAUCUUCUCCCGGCAUCGGGAGGGGAUCAAAGGUAGCCUAUAUUUAUAAGCUAUUGCUUUGAGAUGGGCCCGCGGUCCAUUAGCUUGUUGGUGAGAUAAAAGCCCACCAAGGCUGCGAUGGAUAGCCGACCUGAGAGGGUGUACGGCCACACUGGGACUGAGAUACGGCCCAGACUCCUACGGGAGGCAGCAGUAGGGAAUAUUGCGCAAUGGGCAAAUGCCUGACGCAGCAACGCCGCGUGGGUGAUGAAGUUCUUCGGAAUGUAAAACCCUGUCAGAGGGGAAGAAACUCUCAAAGAUAAAUAAUCUUUGGGACUGACGCUACCCUCAGAGGAAGCUCCGGCUAACUCCGUGCCAGCAGCCGCGGUAAUACGGGGGGAGCAAGCGUUGUUCGGAAUCACUGGGCGUAAAGGGUGUGUAGGCGGGCGGGUAAGUCGGACGUGAAAAUCUAAAGCUUAACUUUGGACCUGCGUUUGAAACUGCCUGUCUUGAGUACGGGAGAGGAAAGUGGAAUUCCUGGUGUAGCGGUGAAAUGCGUAGAUAUCAGGAGGAACACCGGUGGCGAAGGCGGCUUUCUAGCCCGAUACUGACGCUGAGACACGAAGGCUAGGGGAGCAAACAGGAUUAGAUACCCUGGUAGUCCUAGCGGUAAACGUUGGGCACUAGGUGUUGUCCCUUAACUGGGGCAGUGCCGCAGCUAACGCAUUAAGUGCCCCGCCUGGGGAGUACGACCGCAAGGUUGAAACUCAAAGGAAUUGACGGGGGCCCGCACAAGCGGUGGAGUAUGUGGUUUAAUUCGACGCAACGCGAAGAACCUUACCUGGGUUUGAAAUGCACUGGAAAACUCAAGAGAUUGAGUCCCCCAGCGAUGGGUCAGUGCACAGGUGCUGCAUGGCUGUCGUCAGCUCGUGCCGUGAGGUGUUGGGUUAAGUCCCGCAACGAGCGCAACCCCUGUCCUUAGUUGCCAUCUUUCCGUAAGGGAGGAGCACUCUAAGGAGACUGCCAGUUAUAAACUGGAGGAAGGUGGGGAUGACGUCAAGUCCUCAUGGCCCUUAUGUCCAGGGCUACACACGUACUACAAUGGCCGGUAUAGCAGGUUGCUAUGCCGCGAGGUGGAGCUAAUCCCCAAAACCGGCCUCAGUUCAGAUUGAAGUCUGCAACUCGACUUCAUGAAGGCGGAAUCGCUAGUAAUCGCGGAUCAGCAGGUCGCGGUGAAUACGUUCCCGGGCCUUGUACACACCGCCCGUCAAGCCAUGGAAGCCGGGGGGACCCGAAGUCGUUUUUCUAACUCGCAAGAGAAGAAGACGCCUAAGGUAAAACCGGUGACUGGGGCUAAGUCGUAACAAGGUA
rnacentral:rRNA from 1 species